CUGCGGAGGAUCAUUAUCGUA
rnacentral:rRNA from 2 species